CCCAGGUCUCCUGUCAAUUGACGCCGUUUCGGCGAUCAGCUGUUCCGAAACGUCUCGUAAAAUGGCUCAUAGUAUUUAAUUGCUGUCGAGUGACAAAAUGUUUGGCCUUAACCGCCUUAACACAUUCGCUUUUGAACUUGACAGUUAUGUACCCACCAGAUGCAAGGAUGGUUCGUGGAACAGCUUGCUGUGGAAACUGAUGAUUCUGGAUUCGAUUCGAUGAUUCUGGAUUUGUUAUAACUGGAGUUAAAAGAUUGGGACACAUUUUGCACAGUUUGCGACCUUAAACAAACGGCUAUUAAAUAAUAUUGAAGAUAUUUCAGAAUAAAAGAUAUUAUACUUACGGAA